AGCUCACCUCCGGCCACCGUGAGGCCCCGCCGUUGGCCGCCCGAGCUACCGCCCUCUCCCUCGCCGUUCCUCCGCCCGAUUAGGCUCGGAUCAGCCCUCCUCCGCCCAUGAUCGAAGCUGCAGGAAAUGGGUAUGUAGCGGGCGUUUGGCCCGUUUUUGCCGUCUUCCCGAGCCCGGAUGCUCGGCCCGCUUUGAGGAAAGUUGUUCUCCUCGGCGUCCCCGUCGUUUUGGUCCGCUCGGCUCGCUAAUCCGGUCCCUGGUGGACGGAGCGACCAGAUAGCUUUGGUUGGCUUUGAGGAGUUGCAGACGUGAAGUAAUAAGAUUGGAGAACGUGUCCGACUUGUAGGUCAUAGGACAAUUCCUUUUUAAGAGCCGGUCUUAUGUAAACUGUUGGCCAUAGACUUCUGUUUGUAAUUCUGUUGAAUUAUGAAAGUGUUAUGUUGUGGUUU